rnacentral:rRNA from 1 species
GGCGCAAGGGUGCGUAACACGUGGAUCAUCUGCCUGGGAGUUCGGAAUAAUUCCGCGAAAGCGGGACUAAUGCCGGAUGUGGUUGGAAGACUAAAGCUGGGGACCCCGCUUGCGGGGCCUGGCGCUUCCAGAUGAAGUCCGCGGCCUAUCAGCUAGUUGGCGGGGUAACGGCCCCACCAAGNGCGAAGACGGGUAGCUGGUCUGAGAGGACGACCGGCCACACUGGAACUGAGACACGGUCCAGACUCCUACGGGAGGCAGCAGUGGGGAAUCUUGCGCAAUGGGCGAAAGCCUGACGCAGCGACGCCGCGUGGGUGAUGAAGGCCUUCGGGUUGUAAAGCCCUGUGGGGAGAGAAGAAUAAGUCGGAGCCAAUACCUCCGGCGAUGACGGUAUCUCCUUAGCAAGCACCGGCUAACUCUGUGCCAGCAGCCGCGG